rnacentral:rRNA from 1 species
AAUAGAUACCCGGGUAGUCCACGCCGUAAACGAUGAGUGCUAAGUGUUAGAGGGUUUCCGCCCUUUAGUGCUGCAGCUAACGCAUUAAGCACUCCGCCUGGGGAGUACGGCCGCAAGGCUGAAACUCAAAGGAAUUGACGGGGGCCCGCACAAGCGGUGGAGCAUGUGGUUUAAUUCGAAGCAACGCGAAGAACCUUACCAGGUCUUGACAUCCUCUGCCAACCCUAGAGAUAGGGCGUUCCCCUUCGGGGGACAGAGUGACAGGUGGUGCAUGGUUGUCGUCAGCUCGUGUCGUGAGAUGUUGGGUUAAGUCCCGCAACGAGCGCAACCCUUGAUCUUAGUUGCCAGCAUUCAGUUGGGCACUCUAAGGUGACUGCCGGUGACAAACCGGAGGAAGGUGGGGAUGACGUCAAAUCAUCAUGCCCCUUAUGACCUGGGCUACACACGUGCCACAAUGGAUGGUACAAAGAGCUGCGAACCCGCGAGGGUAAGCCAAUCUCAUAAAGCCAUUCUCAGUUCGGA